CAGAUGUAGAAAUAAAAACAACUUCUGAAACGAAGGGGACUAAACAGGGAUCCAUCGAAGAAGAUCCCUCUUCUUCCAUUUUUUCGGAAGAAAAGAAGGAUCGGGACAAAAUCGACAAAACGGAAGAGAUCCAAGUGAAUGGAAAGGAAAAAACAAAGGAUGAAUUUCAUUUUCACUUUAACGAGACAUGCUAUAAAAAUAGACCAUUUUAUGAAACUUUUUAUCUGGAUGGGAAUCAAGAAAAUUCGAAGUUAGAAAUAUUGAUAGAAAAAAAAAAAAAAAAUCUUUUCUGGUUUGAAAAACCUAUUGUAACUAUUCUUUUUGACUCGAAACGUUAGAAUCGUCCAUUACGAUAUAUAAAAAAUAAUUAGUUUGAGAAUGCUGGAAUGCUAUAUAAAUGUUAAAUGUAAAUAAUAAAUUCAAUUUAUUUAAAUAAUAUAAAUAAUUAAUAAAUUUAAAUAAUAAAUAUACAUAUAAUAAAUAUAUAUACGUAUAAUAAAUAUACGUAAAUAAUAAAUAUUUUAUUUAUUUAUUAUUAUUUAUUAAAUAUUAAUAUUAAAUUCAAAAUUAUAUUAAAUAAUUAAAAUUAGAAUUAUAUUCUAUAUUAAAUAAUUGUAAAAAAAUAAUUAUAUAAUUGAAUAUUUUAUAAUUAUAAUAUAUAUAUAAUUAUAAUAUAAUUGAAUAUUUUUAUUUAUUUUUUAUUUUAUUUUAAUAUAAUUCAAUAUUCUAAAUUUAAUAUAAUUCAAUAUUAUAAUUAUAAUAUUCUAUUCAAUUAAAUAUUAUAAUAAAAUUAAAAUAAAAAAAUUCAAUAUUAAAAUUAAUAAAAUUUAAAAUAAAGUCUUACAAUUUGUAAAUAAAAUUAAAUUUUUUUUUACAAAUUGUAAAAAGAUUAAUGCAUAAAAUAAAUAUAAUAAGAGAUAAGAAGAGAUGCGACCGCUUCCUACAUAUUUUAUACCAUCUCCUACAAAGAAACUGGUAACACCAACUCCAUUGGUAAUUCCAUCAAUUAUUCGUUUAUCAAAAAAAUGAAUUAAUUCAGCUAAUUUUCUUAUACCUCCAAUAAAAGAUAUUUCAUAAAAAGCAUCUAUGUAACCUCGAUUAUAGGACCAGUUAUAUAUGACGUUUAUUAUUUUGUCCCAAAGAAUUCUCUUAGAACAUUUUUUAGCGAGCGAAUUAAAGAAAUUCAAAUUUUGUAACGAUGAAUAAACAGGCUUAUAAAAAGAGGACGCUAUAAAUAUUCCGAAAAAAGCUAUACUGACUGAAAAAAUUGCAUUUGUUACAAAUUCAUACCAAUCCACAGAAUUCUUUGAAUUUUGAUGCAAAAGUUUUAAAGACGGAGUUAACAGUUUUGACAAUAUAUCCACCUCCAUUCCUUUUUGAUUGAAACGAAUUUGAUUGAAAGGAAUUCCUAUGGCUCCAAUAAACAAAGCAAAUAGUACCAAGACAAGCAUAGAAAAUAACAUAGUAUUAUCCGAUUCAUGAGGAUAGGCAAAAAUCCUUUUAGUGUUAAAAUUUUUAAUAGUAAUAAAAGGCCACAUCAUCUUUCUUACAUUACCAUCAAUUUGAUAUGUGUUCUUCCAAAAAAAAGAAGCCCUUUCGUUAUUAUUCGUUGUUAAGAAAGGUAAUAAACCCAAACUUUCGUUAAGCAUUUUUUAUCCUUCUUUACCCCAUAAAGAUAUUGAAUAAAAUGAACUAUUUUUUUUACCACUGUAAUUUUUUAAAUGAACAUUUAAAUGUCCUUCAAAAGUAAGUAAAUAAACACGAAACAUAUAAAAUGCAGUUAAUCCGGCCGUGAAACAAGCUAUUAUUGCGAAAACCGGCGAAUACAACCAACUAUCGUUAAGAAUUUCAUCUUUGGACCAAAAACAGGCGAAGGGUGGAAUACCACAAAGAGAAAGUGUUCCUAAAAAAAAAGCAGUUUUUGUAAUUGGAAUAUGUUUUGUUAAACCACCCAUAAGAAUCAUAUUUUGACUCUUAUCUGGAGAAUAACCAACAAUAGCUUCCAUUGAAUGAAUAAUGGAUCCAUAUCCUAAAAACAAUAAUGCUUUCGAAUAGGCAUGAGUAAUCAAAUGAAAUAAAGCGACUCGAUAAGACCCCAUACCUAGAGCUAACAUCAUAUAACCUAAUUGAGACAUUGUAGAAUAGGCUAAACUUCUCUUAAUAUCUUUUUGAGGAAGAGCUAAAGUAGCUCCUAAAAAUAUUGUUAUUAUACCUAUCAAAGCUAUUAGAUUCAUUAUGUAAGGUAUGACUACAAAAAGAGGAAAAAGUCAAGCUACAAGAAAAAUUCUUGCCGCUACCAUAGUAGCAGCAUGUAUUAGAGCCGAAAUAGGAGUAGGCCCUUCCAUGGCAUCCAGUAACCAUACAUGGAGAGGAAAUUGUGCCGAUUUAGCAAUUGCGCCAGAAAAUACUAGAAAGGCACACAAAGUAACAAAUAAAAAAUGAACCUGAUUAUUAUAAACCAAGUUAUUCAAUAUUUUGAACAAAUCCCGAAAUUCGAAACUGCCCGUUAUCCAAUAAAUGCCCAAAAUUCCCAAUAAUAAACCAAAAUCCCCUACACGAUUAGUUACAAAGGCUUUUUGACAAGCAUUCGAUGCAAUAGGUCGUGUGAACCAAAACCCUAUUAAUAGAUAAGAACACAUUCCAACCAACUCCCAAAAAAUAUAAAUUUGUAUCAAAUUAGAACUAGUAACUAAUCCCAACAUUGAAGUAUUGAAAAAACUCAUAUAAGCAAAAAAUCUCAAAUAGCCUUGAUCAUGAGACAUAUAAUUGUCACUAUAAAAAAGAACCAUAAUUCCAACUGUAGUAAUUAAUACUGACAAAAUAGAAGUAAGUGGGUCAAUCAAGUGUCCGAAUUCUAAAGAAAAAUCAUUAUUGAUAGUCCACGACCAUAUAUAUUGAUAAAUAAAACUGCUAUUUAUUUGGUGAAUAGACAAGUCGAUUGAAAAAAUCAUGACUAUACUUAACAAGAAAAGGCUUGGAAAAGCCCACAUACGACGAAGUUUUUUUGUUGCCGCCGGAAAAAGUAGGAGUCCCGCUCCUAUUAACAUAGGAGCUGGGAAUGUAACAAAAGGUAUGACCCAUGAAUAUUGAUAUAUAUGUUCCAUAAAAAAACUUUUUGAAUUGAUAAUUAAUUGUUUCUUGUUUCUGAUUCAUCGGCUCUUAUAUCUUUUUAAAUAAGUCAGUCAAUAAAAAAAAAAUAUGUAAAACUUCAAUCGAAUUUUAUAUUCUUAAUUAUUCUGAAUUUUCCAAAAUACUUCACAUACAAAAUACUUCACAUAUUUAAAUCAAAAAGUUAAAAUUGGUCAAAUCAAAUAAAUAAAAAUAUUAGUGAAAA
rnacentral:lncRNA from 1 species